ensembl:lncRNA
CAACAUUUCCUGUUGUGGAAGCCAUUACUCACGAGGCAACCGCUACUCACGAGGCAACCGCCAAAUUAGCUGAAAGAUCCUGGAUCUGAGAUCUGUGAAAUACGGCCGUGGGAAGCUGCGUCAGCUGGACGAGCUAUCUCACCACGAGCUCCGAUUGGUUUUUGACCAGGACUGGAUCAUUUGAGAUCUGAACCCUGUGGGUUCAGUGGCGAGCCAAUCCCAAGAGAGUGACUGUCGACGGACCCGAGUGCGGUGUGGCCAGCCGUGGGAUCCAUCUUCAGCGAACCUCAGGACUAUUACUACCUUCCUUGAUACAGAUAAGACUAACACUUUAAAAAUCUACCCGGGUAGUGUUAGAACCAAUGGACAGAAACACACACA